UUUAUACGUCGAAUUUCGGUCGCGUCGAAUGCAACUGAAACGAUAGAUAAUGAAGGAAACAAUAAAUAAUGAAGCUUAAUGAGGUUUAUCAUCUCAUUAUCUAUUGUCUUAAUUGCAUUCGACGCGACCAAAAUUCGACGUAUAAA